rnacentral:rRNA from 1 species
CUAAGGUGAGCGAGCGAACUCUCGUUAAGGAACUCGGCAAAAUGACCCCGUAACUUCGGGAGAAGGGGUGCUCUUUAGGGUUCACGCCCAGAAGAGCCGCAGUGAAUAGGCCCAAGCGACUGUUUAUCAAAAACACAGGUCUCUGCUAAACCGUAAGGUGAUGUAUAGGGGCUGACGCCUGCCCGGUGCUGGAAGGUUAAGAGGAGUGGUUAGCUUCUGCGAAGCUACGAAUCGAAGCCCCAGUAAACGGCGGCCGUAACUAUAACGGUCCUAAGGUAGCGAAAUUCCUUGUCGGGUAAGUUCCGACCCGCACGAAAGGCGUAACGAUUUGGGCACUGUCUCAACGAGAGACUCGGUGAAAUCAUAGUACCUGUGAAGAUGCAGGUUACCCGCGACAGGACGGAAAGACCCCGUGGAGCUUUACUGUAGCCUGAUAUUGAAAUUCGGCACAGCUUGUACAGGAUAGGUAGGAGCCUUUGAAACGUGAGCGCUAGCUUACGUGGAGGCGUUGGUGGGAUACUACCCUAGCUGUGUUGGCUUUCUAACCCGCACCACUUAUCGUGGUGGGAGACAGUGUCAGGCGGGCAGUUUGACUGGGGCGGUCGCCUCCUAAAAGGUAACGGAGGCGCUCAAAGGUUCCCUCAGAAUGGUUGGAAAUCAUUCAUAGAGUGUAAAGGCAUAAGGGAGCUUGACUGCGAGACCUACAAGUCGAGCAGGGUCGAAAGACGGACUUAGUGAUCCGGUGGUUCCGCAUGGAAGGGCCAUCGCUCAACGGAUAAAAGCUACCCCGGGGAUAACAGGCUUAUCUCCCCCAAGAGUUCACAUCGACGGGGAGGUUUGGCACCUCGAUGUCGGCUCAUCGCAUCCUGGGGCUGUAGUCGGUCCCAAGGGUUGGGCUGUUCGCCCAUUAAAGCGG